ensembl:ncRNA W10C4.2 ncRNA
UUUUAGGCUUAGGCUUAGGCUUAGGCUAAGGCCUAGGCCUAGGCUUAGGAAUAGGCUUGGGCUUAGGC